AGAAUUUCAAUUUUAUCUACUCUAAUGAAUUUUUGGUUCACGUUUGACGCAUAACGAAACAUCGGUAACACAGUUCCUCAAUGUUAUCGAAUGAGUUUUAAGCCCCUAACCAUGCACCAGCCAUUCAUCCAUCACUCCCCACCAUCGUCUAUUCCAAAGUAACAUGUUGUAUCAUCCCCUUUUUUUGUCUCCAUCUUUCUCUUUUUUUGCUAGAGUUUCAGGGACUUCUGUUCCCCCCAUUCGACCAUCAAGCUGAGUUUUCAUGCUUGUAUCAUAGAAACUAUGUAUUUUAUAAAUACACCGUCUAGUUAUGUGAAAUGACUACCUCUUCCAAUAUUAAUAGUAAUAAUAAUAAUAAUGAUAAUGAUGUUUUUUCUGUGAGUUGAAAAAUAUUAAAUCCAAUGAAAUGUUAAAAAAGAAAGCUGUCGAGAAAUAUAGGCAGCAGGAGUUUUCUCCACUGCAUGACUAUGCGGAAGAGAACGAGCCAGUUAAGAUACACAAUAAUAGUAAUAGUUUCUUGUCGGAGAACAACUCGGCCGAGAAGCUAACGUUGGCUAAGAGUAAGAACAAAGAGUCUCCGUCAGGUGAUCCAGGGUUCACCACCAUGGCAACGGAUGACUUUACCAGUGGGAGACAUUACAAAACUUUUCAUAUUACUGGCGUGAAGGUCUCAGAAACGGCUUGCGGCACAAUCGAUCCCGUUGGAAGGGACGGCUGCAACAGUUUGCAAGAUUCCAACAUUGAUGAUUUUAGAAUCGGUGGAACCGAUCAGGAAGAUCCUGAGAUGCUGGAGAAUCAAGAUAACGGUAGUCAGUUUUCUCUUGCCACUACCGCUGCAGCUACUGAUGACAAAGAUGAUGAUGAUAAUGAUGAGGAUGUGGAUGUGGAGGAGGAAGAGGAUGAUGAUGGGGAUUCUGACAUUGAUGUCGUUACGACCCCGUCGUCACCAAAUCGUUUACAGGAAUCGUCAGCUACUGUAAAACUUUCAGGAGUCAGAAGCAUUUCCGAUUUUGUUUCUUCUGCAAAGACUAACGACAUCUCUACUGAUUUUGGGGACACGUCUCCAACACAUUCGGAAAGUGCAGAAAGUUCUGAAGUUCUACCUGGCUUGACAAUAACCUCGGCUUUUUCGCUCAGUGCUGACAUGUGGGAUGACGAAAACGACACGAAAGAGGAAGACACGGAAGAUGGUACUUACGCAGAUUUUAUAAAGGUCAGAGUCAACGAAGACUACGAUGCCACUGAUUACGCCCCUUGGCGCGAAUUGGAUUCUGACCCUAAAUCCAGUGUUAGCCAUCUAGAAAAUGAAUCACCACACUUUGAACCAGGUCUAGAGGAAAAUGUUCCUGAUCUCUCAGUGGUGAAGCAAGAAAAUGAAGAUCUUUUUUCGUGCCUGCAUUGCCCCACAAUCCUUACUGACCAGUUCUCCUAUGAGCAGCAUAUCCAGUCGCACACAACCGCUCCUCGGUCAAAGGUUUACUUACAUCAAUGCUCUGUACCAAAUUGUGAUUUCGGCACCAACAUAAUCCGAGAGUUUCGAGCACACUACUCGGAGAAUCACGACAAUUUAUCGUCCUACCAAUGCCGCUGGUGCCAGACAUAUCUGAACUCUCUUGGUGCAUUCCUUGAUCAUAUCGGAGAUAACUUUGUUGUGCCCUGGGUGAAGUGCCCUCAUUGCCAUUUGAAAGAGAAAAGCAAAACUGAAAUCCUUCGACACAUUUCCACAGAGCACCCUGGAGAGUCUCAACGGGUGAUCGCAGGUAGCAUGAUUCUUUGCCGAAGCAAAGCAGAAGCCACUGUGUCAUCAUUAUCAUCAUCAACAUUAUCAUUACCGCCUCAAGAGAAAGACCACCAAAUGACAGCCGCCUAUGUCAGCCUGCUGAAUAAGCAGAAAUUCGUUUUGAAUAAUAACGAAACUAUCAAUAGUAAUGGUAAUAGUAGUAAUAGCAAUAAUGAUGAUAAUAAUAAUAUUAACAUUACUACCAUUACUACUAUUACUAAAAAAAAAAAAACCAAAAAAAGGAAAGCCACCACCAUCGCUACCACCAAUAAUAUUAAUAGUAGUAGUAGUAAUAAUAAUAAUAAUAACAACAACAUUGGUGACAGUGAAGUUGAAGACGAUGAUAUUGAUGUUGAAACCCUUAGCAGUAGUAGUGUUGAAAAUUUAAAAGAUAUUGUUAGAAGUAAUACUAUUACUGUUGAUAGAUUUAUUAGUAACAGCAAGAGGAUUGAUAAGAUUAUGAACGGCAACAACUUUGAUAGUAAUAGGAACAAUAGCAGUUACAAUGCGGACGACGAUGAAAGCCUCAACUUCAACAAUAACGAUUCUAGUAAUGUGUCAAGUAAUUACACUAUAAGCCGCUGGUACAAUUGUCCAGACUGCAUUUUCAGUACGACCAAGGCGCAAUUGUUCCUCGCACACAUGAAGACUUGCUUCCCCUUGAAAACUAUGGUGAAUCCCAAGGAGGUGAAAUUUGAGUGCAAGGAGUGCACGUUUGCAACAAGCAGCAAAAAGGGGUUUUUGAAUCAUUGUCAUGUAAAGGAAGCGUUGAAAAAUGUUCCGAAACAGCCAUACGGAAAGCAUUUGCCCAUAAGCAAUCUUGACUUACCAAGCAAAAAGAUCAUGCCAGACAAGAAAAAAAUUGUGGGUGUGAGAGGUAAAAAAAAUCGCAGCACUCUUCGGCCUUCUGUUUAUAAUAUUGUGGACGACAAGUACAAAUUCAUGUGUCCGUACUGCUCUGAGAGCUUUGAAAAGAUAAAUUCUAUGAAAAUCCACAUAUUUCGUAGUCAUCGAGAGCAUUACAACAAACCAAUCUCGUUGCAUCAGUGUCUGUCGUGCCACAUGAAAUCAUCAUCUCAGCUUGUUGUUAGGCAACACAUUGAACGCACACAUUUCGGUCGCAAGUCUGGCAUCCUUCUUAUAGACGAGCCUUCUGAAAUCAUAUCCAGAAAAUUCCGGGUGCAGCAAGACAAUAAUAAGAAACUGAUCCAGACCAUAGAGCCAAUAGAAAAAUUGGACAGCGAUGCGGUCAAGAAGGUGUCCUCGGAACGCUGUAGUAGUUGGGGCCGGUCGCAACAAGCUAACAACGAACCCUUCAAACAGAAAGAUGUGCCAGCUGAAAGUAAAAACACUGAGGUGAUCCCUGAAAAGCCAUCUACGGAGCAGCGUGUCUCAGAUCCUGAAGAAUCUGGUGCCUCAAAGAAAGAAGAACUGAAAACUGAAACACCUAACAAAGUGCAGGAAAUGGAAAUUAUAAAGUUUGGCGUCGGGGACCAUUUCACUGAAUACAUCCACUGCCCUCGGUGUCCCUAUCAAUCUCAGAGCGUAAUGGGUUUCUAUGGACACAUCAAACGGCAUGAAAACAUGGUUGUUUGUAUAAAUACGAGACGGAAAUACGAAUUUCACAAACCUAAAUAUGACAAAUAUUCAGAAACAGCUGCCAGUGGCAACACCAACUCUGCUGAAGAUGUGCCCAAAACUUCAGAUUCUGAUUCAGUACCAGUAAUUAAUUCCGAAACUGAAUUACCAGCUGCUAUAAAUGCAGAUCAGUUGGUUAAUUUGACCAACGAAAAUUCCGAGAAAACAGCAGAAAGUCCUGAUGAAAUUUCCGUGAACGAAAUUCCUGAAUCUGAUGGCAAAGAUGCAUCAGCUCUUAUGCAAUACCCUGUUGAAUCUGAGACAGUUAUCAUGAAUAAACAAUCAGAAAGUGAUGUCGAUAAAGAAGAAUAUUCCAAAUUGGGUGGCCCCGUUUUAACCUCUAAAUUGUCCCAACUCUACACUGUCAGAGGAAUGCUUCAGGAAUGCAACCUCUGCGAUUAUUCCUCCGAUUUUCCGUCUUAUAUGCAUCGGCAUCUGCUUUCUAAUCAUCUCAAUGUUCACUUCUGGCGAUGCGGCUACUGUUUCUAUCGCCAUUUACAGCAGUGUAAGAUACUGAGGCACUGCAUAAAGCAUCACGCCAGCUGCGAGCCAUAUGCCAAGUGGCUUGGCAUUCCAGACUGGGAAAAGAAAAUAAAUAUUUGUCUUGCCAACAAAAACCACAAGGCUCAAAACACAUCAGAAGCAAAAUCUCCAAAGAUGCCCCUCUCUCCUACGACCACUUCCCAGUCUUCUACGGGUGAAGAGAAAAUACCUCCUUUGUCACCAAAAUUGAAAGAAGGCAAUAUUAAAGUUCCAAGUGAAAUGAAGAUUAUAGAAAUUGAAAAACUACCUGGGAAUCUCUACAAGUGUAAGGUUUGUUCUUACUGUAGCAUAUAUCAGACAAACGUCUUGAGACAUAUUUCUUAUGUUCACGGCGCUUUUGGUAAAAGCAUUGAAGGUAACUUACAAUCUCCAAUAAUGAAUCUGACUGCUUCUGUUCGAUCCAAAUUGUCUGGUGAGAAGCAAGAAAGCUCCAAGACUGAUGGUAAGUCAGAAAACACCUCUCCCGUGCCAUCUGCUCCGCCAACACUGUAUCGCUGUGUAUUCUGCAAUUCUGUGAACAUGUCUGCUGACGAAGUGAAGAAACACAUGUGGCAAGAGCACUCUGACGAAUUAACCAAUGUUGGUAUUUUGCUGAAAUCCAAAGAGGAGAGCGCUGGAUCUUCCCGCAAGAAUUCCAAAAGAUCACAGUUACUUAAAAAACACUUACAUCAGCCUGCCAAGGGUCGAAAGGUUAAAACUCAGUCUAAGAAUACCAGCGAACAAUCUAGUCCAAGAGAUGCAAAUGAAGAAUCGAUGGCCCUAAAGCAUACUCGAAGGAAUUCUGCCAAAGGUGAUGGUUUUCCGGAAGGAAGUGAAGAUGCCUUGGCUUUGAAUUUAUUAUACGAUGAAAACCAGGACCAUCCACGUCCAGUUAAACGUCCAGCCACGAAGCAAAACCAGCGUGUUCCAGCAAAACGACUUAAACAGAAAACAGCUCAAAGCAAAGCUAAUGAAAGAAAUUCAUUAGAGAACUUAAAUAAUGAUAUGGUUUCUGAAACCCUCCGUGAUAGGGAAUUUCAUAUGACUGAGAAGCUGGCUGCUCAGUCAGGGAAUGACACAGAGUCUCAGACACAGAGAUCAGGUGAGAUAUUGCCGGAAUUACAGAAAGUCGAUAUGGAGAUAUAUAAUCGCUAUAUAUUCAAGACUUACGAUGGUUCCUACCUCUGCAAUUUCUGCAUCACCAGCAUGGCCACCGAAGAUGAAGCGCGACAACACAUUCUUUCGAUGCACCCGAAAAAGGUUGCCAAUCCCUCUGAACUACCUUGUCAGAAUUUCCAAAUUUUCCGACAGAAAACCAGACGUCCAGAAAUCAUCGUGCCUAUUGCCGCCAAACCACGGGGUGCUACAGAUGCAAACCGAAAGUCUAAAAACCCGAAGCCGAAAAGAGAUCCUUAUAAAGUCAGAAAGCAGCCAAAGAAAAGGAAAGCGAGUUCAAAUAAGCCGAGACCGAAUGCAAAUAAAUGGCAGGCGGCUGAAAACAAGUUAAUGUCAACACAGCACAGGACAGGAACUGACUACGAGAUGAGCAACAAGGAAGAAAAGAGCAACACCGAUUCUCCUAUGCUCCUUGCCGACAGUUUUACAGAUGAUGAUGAUGAUGAUGUUGAUUGUAUCUUCAGCUGGAGUUAUGACGACGACCAAAUGAAAGUCUCAAAUAGCUGCACGGAUCAGCAGCAGUUGUCGAUCGUCCGGAUGAUAAAGUAUCAACUCGAUGAUUCUGAACUUUUCAAAUGUCCAUUCUGCCAGCUCAGGUCAAAAAGUCACCGCAAGGUCAUGGACCACAUUCGAAUGCACCAUUUAGAGCUAGAGGUGAACAGAUGUUCAGAAUGUCCUUACACCAGUUGGUUCGACGGGGAGAUGUCGAAGCAUGUGCAGGCGGUGCACGGCUGCAUCAUGUCGACAGGUAAUCACCGACCGCCUGACCCUAUGGACUCCUUGCUAAAUAAUCCAGUCAAACCGGACACAGCUGAUGUGGCUAUCAAGAAUGAACAAACUCCCUCUGAUGUAUGUAACCCACACCGGACGACGAAUACUACUACUACUACUACUACCACUAAUACUACUUCUGCUACUACUACUAGCUCUGAGUCCACUGACAUCUAUGUGACCACCGAUUAUAGAAGCUUAUACUCAAAGGCUUCUUGUAUUAAAAACCAGACCCUUCUCUACACUUGCACCAUAUGUUCACUACAGUUGGUGAGCCAAAAGCUGUUUUUUGAACAUGUCACUAAACACUACGGACGAAUUUACCAGUGCUCAUUGUGUUCCUUCAAAACAUACCCAAGAGAAUUUAUGGAGAACCACAUCCGCACUCACCAAAAUACUCCCAAAGAGAACAUCAAUAUUGUCGUACUCUGCCAUGAAUCUCUGAUGGAUAUUCCUGAGAGUAUUAUCAAACCUUGCCAGAUAUUUAAGUCUUCAGUUUAUUCACCUGUUGGUCCUACUACCAGUACUGCUAUUGCUGCUGCUACUACUACUACUGCUGCUGCUGCUGCUACUGUCAUUCCUGCUGCUUCUGCUGUUACCACCUCUGACGGCCACACUACCCCUCCUGCUUCUACUGCUGAGUGGUGGCCCUCAAGCCCCACCAGCCUGACCCUCACCGCUGCAUCGGCAGCCGCUGCUGUGUCUGCACUCUGGACAGACUACUUAAAGUACUGCUGCCCCUUCUGUACUUUCAAAACUGACCAGCUCAGUGCAUUCGAACAGCACCUGAAGGCCUGCUGCGAGAAAAAGCUCGCUGCGGCUGUCACAUCUGAUCCUUCGAUUUCUGCUUGGCCAGGGUCAGAGCCAGAGGUCCCCCCUGAGAGUGGCGGCAGCGACAGCAACAACAACAACAGCAACAGCAGCAGUAAUAACUCUCACAACAUCAACAACAACACCAAGUCGAAAGUUCUGCUGCCUACCAUUUUCAACGUUCAUGUCACACUUCAAGACAUUUUUGCAUCAUAUAAGCCUGAAUUUUUGAUUUUUACACAUAAGCAUAUAUAUAUAUAUAAUAUAUAUAUAUAUAUAUAUAUAUAUAUAUUUAUGUGUGUGCACGCGUGUGUAUGUGUGUACACAUAUACACACACAGGCACACACACACACACACAUAUAUCAGAUAUAUCGUUUUUUUUUUUUUUCUUUUGCGGCUUUAAUUUGCCUCAUCUUCCUUAUCUAUCUCAUCACUGACCUCGUCUCCCUUCUAAUUAUGAAUAUCGUUAACGAUUUACAAGUUUUCUUGCUCAAACGAAAAGAAUAUAUGGGAAGAAGAGAGAAAAUUUUUGUUUGAGAAGGGACUAUAUAUGCAUGUAUGUGUGUGUGUGUGUGGAUGUAUGUUCAUGAAUUAAAAUUUUUUUGUCUUUUUUCAAUAACAUGAACAAAACCGAAUAAUUAACUUCUGUCCAAAUUUUUUUUUUUUUUUAUCAAUGGAUUAAAAUUUCAACACUCACCCUCCCUCCCUCCCUCCUUCCCAACACUCCCCACGAUGACCACCUCCACUACCACCACCACUACCAUAUCAUAGACAGAUCAUGUUUUUUCUUUUUUUUUUUUUUAUUUUGUAAAUGUUACACCAAAGAACAGGAAAGAAAGGAAAAGGAGAUUUAAAGAAAGAAUGGCUGACUUCUUUUCUCUUUGAAUAACCAAAAAC
rnacentral:misc_RNA from 1 species